rnacentral:tRNA from 1 species
AAGGAUAUAGCUCAAGUGGUAGAGUGCAUGCCUAGUAUGCAAAAGGUCCUGGGUCCAAUCCCCAGUAUCUCCU